CGUCGUGAGGCGGAGUCUGAAGGAAGCCUACGGCAAAACCUCGGUCUGACGAACAGAAACUGUAUAUAAGGCGUACUUGAAACGGACGAGUUUCCAAGACAAAACGAAGUCCAAUACUGCCCGAAUUUCAAGGCGUAAAUACAGCAGAUAUAUGAGGUGAAGGUUAU
rnacentral:ncRNA from 1 species